rnacentral:rRNA from 1 species
UACGAAGGGGGCUAGCGUUGUUCGGAUUUACUGGGCGUAAAGCGCACGUAGGCGGAUUGUUAAGUCGGGGGUGAAAUCCCAGGGCUCAACCCUGGAACUGCCUUCGAUACUGGCAAUCUCGAGUCCGGAAGAGGUGAGUGGAACUCCUAGUGUAGAGGUGGAAUUCGUAGAUAUUAGGAAGAACACCAGUGGCGAAGGCGGCUCACUGGUCCGGUACUGACGCUGAGGUGCGAAAGCGUGGGGAGCAAACAGG